GAGAGUUUGAUCAUGGCUCAGAUUGAACGCUGGCGGCAGGCCUAACACAUGCAAGUCGAGCGCGCCCUUCGGGGUGAGCGGCGGACGGGUUAGUAACGCGUGGGAACGUGCCCAGAUCUAAGGAAUAGCCACUGGAAACGGUGAGUAAUACCUUAUACGCCCUUCGGGGGAAAGAUUUAUCGGAUUUGGAUCGGCCCGCGUUAGAUUAGGUAGUUGGUGGGGUAAUGGCCUACCAAGCCUACGAUCUAUAGCUGGUUUUAGAGGAUGAUCAGCAACACUGGGACUGAGACACGGCCCAGACUCCUACGGGAGGCAGCAGUGGGGAAUCUUGGACAAUGGGGGCAACCCUGAUCCAGCCAUGCCGCGUGAGUGAUGAAGGCCUUAGGGUCGUAAAGCUCUUUCGCCUGUGAUGAUAAUGACAGUAGCAGGUAAAGAAACCCCGGCUAACUCCGUGCCAGCAGCCGCGGUAAUACGGAGGGGGUUAGCGUUGUUCGGAAUUACUGGGCGUAAAGCGCGCGUAGGCGG
rnacentral:rRNA from 1 species